CCUCACACUAUCUCCCCAGAUUAAGAUCAUAAGGACGUGAAUUGGAACAACUGGGUGACUCCCCUUGGGAGCCAGCAAAGAUGCAAUUCAUCACAAUCCUGUCUCAUGGCCACACCUGUUAUUUACAGAAAACAGAUUUAGGAGAUGGGCAUGGAAGCCCUCUGACCACUUUAUCUGCCAGUUUAUGAAGAGGAACAAAAAAGAACAAACACGUGUAAAAGGAGUAGGUCACCACGCCUUUAUGAAGAGGAAUGAACACAUCAAAAGGGAUUAAGUCACAACACCAGGAACCAGACCUGUAGAGGGAGAAGACAAAACAGAAGCCUAACAGCCCACACUCAGAGGGCAGUUUGCAGAAUAACAGCGGGAUAUUCUGAGCCACGGCGAUGUUGCCCCAUGUGGGUCACUAGACAUGCCUAGAGGCAUUUCUGAAACUCAGACAUGGAGCGGGAGGCUACUAUUGGCCCCCAGAGGGGAGAGGGCGCAGAUGUUGCUAAACAUCUCAUGAAGCACAGGACAACUGACACAUGUGACAAGCCCCGGCCCCGCCACAAAGAACGAGGUGUUCUCACUCAUCGCUAGUCCCAAGGUUGAAAACCUGCAUCAGACGAUUGGCCCGGUAAUUGUUUAACCGGCUCUCAUGCUACAGACUGGCAGAAAAAAAAAGGGGGGGGAUUGGAAGAGGGUCAUACCUAGUUUGUUCAAACAAUGACCCACAGCCAGUGAUAACUGAGACUUCACCUGUGUUACACACUCAGUCGUGUCCAACUCUUUUGACCCCGUGAACUGCAGCCUGCCAGGCUCCUCCGUCCAUGGGAUUCUCCAGGCAAGAAUACUGAAGUGGGUUGCCGUUUCCUCCUCCAGGGGAAUCUUCCCCACUCAGGAAUUGAACCCAGGUCUCCUGCAUUGGCAGGUGGCUUCUUUACCACGGAGCCGCCCGGGAAGCCCCACAGAGUAAUAUUUUUAUCUGCUCGAUGAAGUCUCCAGAAAGAAGAGACGUUUAUCAGAUACUAAGCUUUCAGCUGGCCAACACCUCCAGCGGAUGUCCAUGAGGUAAAUUUUCAGAUCACCAAAGUUGCAGAUACAUCGGACUUCUGUGCCAAUUUUUAUCACCUGGAGCCUAGGAAGAAGCCACAGUAUGCAUCUUCUGCAAGAAAAGCAGAAGUGCUUUCUACAAGAGCUGCUGAUGAAGCUGAGAAUGCAACGAAUUUUGUGCUUCAGGCAAGAUUCUCCUGGGACAGCACUGAUGCCUUAGGGGACUACAGGUUUGGUGAAGAGGGACAUCGUAAGUCUUACUGAGAAAUAUAGGAAAGUCUGUGAAUACACGUAACUGUGGGCAGCAUCCUGAGCACACUGAUAAAUAACCAACUGUCACAUUCGUGCACGCGUGCGUGCUCAGUCACUCAAGUCAUGUCCAAGUCUUUGCAACCCCACGGACUGUAGCCCGCCAGGCUCCUCUCUCCAUGGGAUUCUCCAGGCAAGAAUACUGGAGUGAGUUGCCAUGCCUUCCUCCAGGGGAUCUUCCCGACCCAGGGAUUGAACCCGAAUCUCCUGUGUCUCCUGCAUUGCAGGUGGAUUCUUUUCCACUGAGCCACCUGGGAAGCCCUGUUGCAUUUGUAGGAAAAUGUAAAAGGACCACAGAUAUGUUUCAGAAAAUCUCUGACACGUAGUUAUCACAGGUCUAAAUGGACUUGCCCCUCCAAUUUAGCUCACCAACUGAACCAAGAAAAAAUAAUCAAAGUAUAUAAUGUCGUGCACAAGGUUCAUUCAGCUUAAAAGAUGCAAAAGCAAAGAAAUCAUAGGAACAGCCCUCCCAAUUGAAAACUCUGGUGGCAGCUACGUUCAGAGGCGGCUGGGACUGUUCCCAAUUUCCGUAACUCUUACGUUUACUUAUUUUUUAAAUUGGAGUAAAGUUGCUUUACAGUGCUGUGUUAGUUUCUGCUGUUUAACAGCAUGGAUCACCUACAUGAAUACAUAUCUGCCUCUCUUUUGAGCCUCGAUCACCAGCCCCUACUGAAAUUCCUGAAUUUUUAAAAGAAGGCCGCCCAAAGUCCCCAUAUUGAUUCUUCCAAUGGCUCUAAUGCAAUAUGGAAUGAGGUACGGUGUAUAUUCCACACACACAUUGUACCCGGGAGGCUUCGUUUCCUUAGCUAGAAGCCCUCUUUUGGCUGAAAAUGAUAUGUGAGUAGUCACCCAGCCUCUUUCCCCCUAUUAUGUUUGAUAAAAUCCGUAACCUUGUAAUUUGUCCACUGGAUGCAAAUGUAUUUAUUGAGGGUAGAAAUGAGAGUU